GCUGGUGUAGCUCAGAUGGUAGAGCUACUGCCUUGUAAGCAGUAGGUCGGCGGUUCGAUUCCGUUCACCAGCUCCA
rnacentral:tRNA from 6 species